GGACCCGUAGCUCAGCCAGGACAGAGCGCCGGCCUCCUAGUCGGCGCUGAGAAGACAGCCGGUGGUCCCGGGUUCAAAUCCCGGCGGGUCCG
rfam:Sulfolobus acidocaldarius DSM 639, complete genome.